UUGCUCACAUCGGCAGCACAUGCACUAAAAUUGGAAUGAAGCAGAGAUUAGCAUGGCCCUGAGCAAGGAGGACACAUGUGCAAAUUCAUGAAGCGUUCCAUAUUCUU
rnacentral:snRNA from 1 species